AUUAAAAAAAAAAAAGUUAUGAUAAGCACCAGAUAAAGUAAGUUCUAUGGUGGCUACACAAUCCUUCCAAAUAAAUAAACAAGCAAGUUGUACACUACUGUUUAUUGCAGCUACAUACCUUGCUAUCUACAAAAACUUCCACUACAAAAAAAAGAAGAGAACUUUCUGACUUAACAAAACAAGUAGUUUUUACUUUAACUGAUGAAGGGACAUUAGCAUAUCCCUAAAGAACCAAACUUACUUAUACUCUCUGCAAACGGGACAUUAUCAUAGCGAUGGGCUGUCUUGAGUUACUGUUCAACAACAGUCACUUGUUCAAACUCGAUAAGAGACAGAUUACUGUCUUCCUUGACAGAGAAACUAGCAGGUUCGGUAACUUCAAUACGUCCCCACCUGUCCACUGCAAGCCUCAUUGAUCCCUUGAACAUAUCUAUUUUUGCAUUGCGCAGAAUUACAGUAGCACCUUCUUUCAUCAUGUCGACUUGAUCAUUUCUAGCAGUGAAAAUGAUCAUCCCUGUCUCAUCACCAACCAAGCAUUCAGCCAAUCGCAUCUGACGGCCUUGAUUUCCCCUUGGCACUACCAUCUUUGUAUUAACCACCUUCACAGUAAGAUUUAGCCCAGUAGCCGUUGGCCUAAGCUGAUCAACCUUAGUGAAAACUGGUUGUUGCUUCUUUGGUUCACCCAUUUUUUAUUUUAAACCUGAAUUGAAGAGAAAAAUUGAGAUCUGAGUAUUCUUCUGGA
rnacentral:misc_RNA from 1 species